UUUGACAAACAAUAUAUGUUUCGUCUCACUAUCAUCAAUUACAAUAAGAAGUUUUCUCUAAUGAUGCUCUCUCUAAUUAGAUAUUGCCACUACCUCAUAUUUCUUCUGGAAUGAUACUCUUCUGAUGAAGUAUUGCCACUACCUCAAAGUCAAAAUCACGAAACAACAGUAACACAAAAAUUGAAGCUGAGAUGUGAAAUGCUAUUGAAGUUUUCUUCCUUUUCCUUUAACUUUUUCUCCAAAAUUUACAAUAUAGGAAAAUGAGAGAAUGAGAACAUGAAAAGAGUGGAAUAGCCGAUUUUUGCUUUUUCUUGGGGGAGUAUCUCUAGCUCUCCUAAUGGUCAUUAAUUGAUGUGCAAUACUUUGGUCUUCUAAUCUAUCUUUCCCCAAUAUUGGGUGAAAUAAAAAUGAGGGGAAUUGUGAAUUAUGGUUCGGCCACCACAUGAAUGUAGGGAUUACAAUUGAUUUAUUUCCUAAUGCAAAUAAAUUAAGAAAAUUGGUGGAAACUCAAUUUCCUUCAUUUUCUUGGUGGCUACUAAUUGCUUAG
rnacentral:lncRNA from 1 species